rnacentral:rRNA from 1 species
CUGGCUCAGGACGAACGCUGGCGGCGUGCCUAAUACAUGCAAGUCGAGCGGACAGAUGGGAGCUUGCUCCCUGAUGUYAGCGGCGGACGGGUGAGUAACACGUGGGUAACCUGCCUGUAAGACUGGGAUAACUCCGGGAAACCGGGGCUAAUACCGGAUGCUUGAUUGAACCGCAUGGUUCAAUUAUAAAAGGUGGCUUUUAGCUACCACUUACAGAUGGACCCGCGGCGCAUUAGCUAGUUGGUGAGGUAACGGCUCACCAAGGCAACGAUGCGUAGCCGACCUGAGAGGGUGAUCGGCCACACUGGGACUGAGACACGGCCCAGACUCCUACGGGAGGCAGCAGUAGGGAAUCUUCCGCAAUGGACGAAAGUCUGACGGAGCAACGCCGCGUGAGUGAUGAAGGUUUUCGGAUCGUAAAACUCUGUUGUUAGGGAAGAACAAGUACCGUUCGAAUAGGGCGGUACCUKACGGUACCUAACCAGAA